CUCUACACCACUUGCAUUAUUUCCCUGAAGUAAAAAAGCCAGUAAGCUCACUUCCAGAAACAGCAUUCCAGAAGAAGUAAACAAGGACAACAAGUUCCAUGUCAGCUCUUUCCCAGGAGUGCACUCCCAUGCCUGAAUUAUCACCAGAACAAAUUCAACCAAAAGGUGAAAAAGGAUAUACAAGUAAAGAAUCGAUUGAAUUCAAUCGUGAGUCAAUGAAUACGUGUUAUAAAUAGCUUCAUAUAGUUGCUACUAUACUUCAACUUAUUUAUAGUAGUCAAUCCCGAAUAGCGGUGCGCAGCAGCCGAUCCCAAAAGUGGGAUAGCAGGAUAGUGUAUAGCGGUAUGACAAAUAGCGGUCACUGAUAUUUGAUUAUUUUGUUGACAAACUACAUGAAUAAUACUAUAAAAUACAAACAAACUUGUAUAUUUCUCAACAAAAAAA
rnacentral:lncRNA from 1 species